UAGUAUAAUAGCCUUUGCAGAUGAUCAGACACAAGGCGAUAAACAACUAAAUUCAACUUUUAUGCCAGAAAGACAGAGACAGAGAAAGAAAGAAAGAAAGAAAGAAAGAAAGAAAGAAAGAAAGAAAGAAAGAGAGAGAAAGAGAGAAAAAAGAAAGAAAGAAAGAAAGAAAGAGAAAGAGAAAAAAGAAAGAAAGAAAGAAAGAGAGAGAAAGAGAAAAAAGAAAGAAAGAAAGAAAGAAAGAGAAAGGAAGGAAGAAAGAAAGAAAGAAAGAAAGAAGAAAGGAAGAGAAGGAAGGAAGGAAGGAAGGAAGGGAAGGAAAGAAAGAAAGAAAGAAAGAAAGAAAGAAAGAAAGAAAGAAAGAAAGAAAGAAAGAAAGAAAGAAAGAAAGAAAGAAAGAAAGAAAGAAAGAAAGAAAGAAAGAAAGAAAGAAAGAAAGAAGGAAAGAAGGAAAGAAGGAAAGAAGGAAAGAAGGAAAGAAAGAAGGAAGGAAGGAAGGAACAAAAGAAAGAAAGAAGGAAGGAAGGAAAGAAGGAAGGAAGGAAAGAAAGAAAGAGAGAGAGAGAGAAAGAAAGAAAGAAAGAAAGAAAGAAAGAAAGAAAGAAAGAAAGAAAGAAAGAAAGAAAGAAAGAAAGAAAGAAAGAAAGAAAGAAAGAAAGAAAGAAAGAAAGUUAAUUGUUUAGCAAAAUUAGAGAAUACUGCAAACAAACCCAAUAGUAUAUGCGGUGUUCUGGUCCUCUACCUCUGCAAAUAAGGGUUGGAGAGGAAUUCUCACAUCUUUUUAAUCAGCUUGGUCAUUUUCGUGACAAUAUUGAGUUUUAACUUUUCAUUGUUUUUCUUCUAUUCUAUUUACAAUCAUUGUUGAACUGUUUUUCCUAAUUGAAACACUUUCUGUGUCUUUCCCUUCCUUCCUUCCUUCCUUCCUUCCUUCCUUCCUUCCUUCCUUCCUUCCUUCCUUCCUUCCUUCCUUCCUUCCUUCUUUCUUUCUUUCUUUCUUUCUUUCUUUCUUUCUUUCUUUCUUUCUUUCUUUCUUUCUUUCUUUCUUUCUUUCUUUCUUUCUUUCUUUCUUUCUUUCUUUCUUUCUUUCUUUCUUUCUUUCUUUCUUUCUUUCUUUCUUUCUUUCCUUGUUAUAAAGAAUGACUCUGAGCAGGUGAGAGAGAGGGAUAUAUUGGGGAAUGAAGGUUAUGUAAAAACAAGAUCUAUCCAAAAAUUGGAAAAAAAAUGAAAAUUAAGCAAGCUUUUUAGCAAUUUUGAGAUGCCUCUUCCCCUGGGAGAUAGGGAAGGGACUAAACAAGAAGGCUGUGGUGGAGGUAGGGUUGGAGGGAGACUCGGAGUGGGAUAGAGGGAAACCAAACUGACUAAGAAGGAUUUGAAAGGUCAUUUCAUUUUGAAUGAACUGAAGCUUGUGGCCAAUCUUUCCAGUGGUUCCUGUGUCCAUCCAUCAAUGUGUACUUCUUACCACAGAUUGAUGCUUCCAGCAAAAAGUGGUGCUGCAAUGGAUGAGAUCCAAAAUGACUCAUAACAAAUAGUGUAUAGCAGAAGAAGGCUUAGAGAUUUGACAUCUGUCAUGCUGUCUAUAAUUAAAACUUUUCUCCCUUAAAUGCUGUGGACAGAAGUUAAGCAAUAUGUGCUAGGCCAGACUUUGUAUGCCAGUGGUAGUAAAUAUUCUUCUCUCGACAACUUUUUCAGGUGAAAUGACAGAUAAGACAAUCCCCAGGAUUAUACACUGGAAUUCAGUGCUGUUGUCUUAUAGCAUCUGAAUUCUUCUCUUUUGGGGGGUUAGGGGGAGGGUCUUGUUUCUAACAAAUACAGACACUUCUGAAAAAAAUAAUAAAACCUAACUUUAAUAUGGCA
rnacentral:lncRNA from 1 species